rnacentral:rRNA from 1 species
UAGGGAAUCUUCCACAAUGGACGCAAGUCUGAUGGAGCAACGCCGCGUGAGUGAAGAAGGUUUUCGGAUCGUAAAGCUCUGUUGUUGGUGAAGAAGGAUAGAGGUAGUAACUGGCCUUUAUUUGACGGUAAUCAACCAGAAAGUCACGGCUAACUACGUGCCAGCAGCCGCGGUAAUACGUAGGUGGCAAGCGUUGUCCGGAUUUAUUGGGCGUAAAGCGAGCGCAGGCGGAAGAAUAAGUCUGAUGUGAAAGCCCUCGGCUUAACCGAGGAACUGCAUCGGAAACUGUUUUUCUUGAGUGCAGAAGAGGAGAGUGGAAUUCCAUGUGUGGCGGUGGAAAGCGUAGAGAUAUGGAAGAACACCAGUGGCGAAGGCGACUCUCUGGUCUGCAACUGACGCUGAGGCUCGAAAGCAUGGGUAGCGAACAGG